AACGUAGGAGACAAACGUUAUCCGGAGUUACUGGGCGUAAAGGGCGUGUAGGCGGUUAGUUAAGUCUGGCGUGAAAGCUCUCGGCUAAACCGGGAGAGGUCGUUGGAUACUGGCUGACUAGAGGACGGUAGAGGCGUGUGGAAUUCCGGGUGUAGUGGUGAAAUGCGUAGAGAUCCGGAGGAACACCAGUGGCGAAGGCGACACGCUGGGCCGUACCUGACGCUAAAGCGCGACAGCAUGGGGAGCAAACAGG
rnacentral:rRNA from 1 species